GUGGAGUGUCCCUUUAAGUUCUUACAGGAAAUACCAGUCAUGGACUUAAGAUUAUUUUAGGACUGGUGCUGACAAUUAUGGUGCUCUUGGGCCUAAUUACAGAAUCUUACAGACAGAAAACACUAACAGCCAUAGUGUCUUGUAUCUGGUUGACCUGGUACUAGAGGAACACUUGCAGGAUACAUUUUAAGUCUAUAAAUACCCUAUGUCAAUCUUUCUCUCCUACAAAUCAGUUCAGUCUGUCUGUCCAUUAAACAAGACCCAACAGCUCUCUCUCACUAAUCACAAACCGUGAACAUUCUCUUAUCAGGAUUUACUUUUCCACUUCCUUCCUGGUAUACAGACUGAGGCAGAGAAGGUGGAUGUAGUAGAAAGUACAUAUGCCACAUGGUGACUGGAGGAUGUUUGACGGUUAGAAGCAGCAAGAGGAUUUGUGCUUAGCUUGCUAUCAGUAAGUUAAUUUUUAGGAUCAAUGUCCUAUUUAAUGGGCAUGGGUCAUUAGUCCUUAUACUAAUGCCAGCCCUGAGCACUAUAUAUCCACACAUAUAUUAGCAAACUACAAGAACACAGUAAGUGUAUCUUGCUUAAAAGGUCACUCCAAUGAAAAUAAAUAUUUUAAUUUAACACCAUUUUUGCAAGUCAUUUUUAAGGAGGGUUUGUACAUUUCAUCUGACCAAAGUUAAGUCAAG